rnacentral:rRNA from 1 species
UACGUAGGGUCCGAGCGUUGUCCGGAAUCACUGGGCGUAAAGGGCGCGUAGGCGGCUGGGGAAGUCGGCGGUGAAAGCCCGGAGCUCAACUCCGGGUCGGCCGUCGAGACUCCUCGGCUCGAGCUCACUAGAGGCAGAUGGAAUUCCGGGUGUAGCGGUGGAAUGCGUAGAGAUCCGGAAGAACACCGGUGGCGAAGGCGGUCUGCUGGGGUGAGGCUGACGCUGAUGCGCGACAGCGUGGGGGAGCAAACAGG